GACCCUGAGGUAUGAAAGCGUGGGUAGCAACAGGAUUUAAGAUUAUCCUGGUAGUCCACGCCGUAAACGAUGUCGACCAGCCGUUGGGUGCCUAGCGCACUUUGUGGUGAAGUUAACGCGAUAAGUCGACCGCCUGGGGAGUACGGCCGCAAGGUUAAAACUCAAAUGAAUUGACGGGGGCCCGCACAAGCGGUGGAGCAUGUAGUUUAAUUCGAUGCAACGCGAAGAACCUUACCUACUCUUGACAUCCUGCGAAUUCGGUAGAGAUACCUUAGUGCCUUCGGGAACGCAGAGACAGGUGCUGCAUGGCUGUCGUCAGCUCGUGUUGUGAAAUGUUGGGUUAAGUCCCGUAACGAGCGCAACCCUUGUCCUUAUUUGCCAGCGCGUAAUGGCGGGAACUCUAAGGAGACUGCCGGUGACAAACCGGAGGAAGGUGGGGAGGACGUCAAGUCAUCAUGGCCCUUACGAGUAGGGCUACACACGUGCUACAAUGGUCGGUACAAAGGGUUGCGAGCUCGCGAGAGUCAGCCAAUCCCGAAAAGCCGAUCUCAGUCCGGAUCGGAGUCUGCAACUCGACUCCGUGAAGUCGGAAUCGCUAGUAAUCGUAGAUCAGAAUGCUACGGUGAAUACGUUCCCGGGCCUUGUACACACCGCCCGUCACACCAUGGGAGUGGACUGCACCAGAAGUGGUUAGCC
rnacentral:rRNA from 1 species